CCACCAAGUAACCACUUCAGCAUCGUCUUGUAAACAUGCGUUUGGAUUUGGCCAACAGUAGCUUCUGUGCUAGCUGAUGGAACGCAAGAAGAGACCGUCUUGGUCAUUGGAGAGAAAUCGUGUGAGGCUUCAACUAGUUACGACAUUCACCACAACGAGGGCGGCCAUUUUGUCACUUGCUGUCGACUGAAAAUGACAUCACAGUUGCCAGGUGUCAACAACCAAUCACGGCUUAGCUUCAGAAAACUG